GCACACAACCUCAAUUGUUGCGACACUUUCAAGUUAACUCUAACUUGAAUACUCAAAAUACCUAAUACAAUUUUCUUCUCUGAAAGCCAAAAGGUACAACAUUAAAUCACCUACUACAAUUGAACUAGAAUUAGAAAAACACAAUGGAACUGGUUCUUCAAUCUUGUUCAAGUAGCUGCAGGCGUGCACACUUGAUCUCACGUAAAUUGCUUGCAAAAUAGUCUUGCUAUUUUUCUCUCAAUUUAGCUCUUCUUUGUAUAUGUGCGUACCUGUACAAGAGAAUAAUAUUACUUUUAUAGAGUUAGUAAUCACAUUUUGACAAUAACUCGAAUUGCUGAACCUUCCUCAAGUUCGAGUCCUAGAACAAUUAAAACUCAAAUUCCUUAUCCUUAAUCCGGAUAUAGUUCUCUUCACAUAAGGAUAACGUUUCUCCUUAUCCCAUAUGCAAUAUUUUUUAUCAGUUCAAAAGGUAUUCAGAAGAUAUUGCUGCUCGAUCUCAAAAGGCUUAUCUUCUUCACGUGCAUCUCACGUGCAUAGGCCAUAACAACUGUGUCUCCUAAGACGGACCUGGUCCUUCACUGAGUUCAUUUGUCAUUCUUCAAAACUUCAACUAAAUUUGGUCCAACAAAUUCCCCCUUUUUGAAGUUGACGAACUCUAUGCUUUUACUGAUCAGAGAACCUGUGGAACUCAGCUUAAUUUUCACAUUUUCACACUUUUAAUUUAACUUAUCAUUAAGAACCAUGUUUAAUCAGGUUAUAAAUAUUACUUCAUUUCAGAAUACAAAACUACUACUAAAGCACAAUAUCUCUUCCCCCUUCUGGCAUCAUCGAAAAGAUGCAAAUUAUAUAAAUCCAGAUAUUAAUUAGUACUCAUGGCCGCUGGGGCAACUGCAAGUGAAAACAUGAUUCAGUUAACCUAUAAUCAACAGUACAAAGAAUUUAACUAUUAAGAUCAGAAGUUUCAUAGAACAAGAGAAACAAAGUGCAUUGUCAUUGAUUAGGAGAUGUUUCUACAAUACAGACCACAAAAAGAAAUAUAAACAUUCAACCAUGAGCAAAGACAGAAAAUCCUUAAUCUGGGUCACUGAGGGGGUAGUUUAAACUGGAUUUAGGGCUUGGAGGUACGAGAGGGAUGGGUUUGGAGAAGGUUGAACAUAUUCUGAAUCAUUCCAUCACUCUUCUCCUUUUCCUUUGCUAGCUCAGCUCUAAGUCCAUCUCGUUCAGUUUCUACUUCAACAACAUGAACCUUCAGCCUGGCAAUUUCAGCAUCUUUUGUUCCACACUCCUGAACCAAAGCCCUGACCUUGCUAUUUACAGGAGUUUUUUGAGAUGAACCUGGUUCAACUAGAUUGACAUUCACUGGAUAGUCGCAGGCCAUAAGAGUCUUGACACCAAAGUGCUCUUUGCUAGAUGCCAUUUUCCAUUUCUUCAAUGGCACAUGUAGCUUUUCCAGAAUAGCAGUCAAUAGGAACCCAUAAGGUGUGACAUGAGCUUUAGAGUCGUUCAUGACUCUAUCGUAGUUUCACGAUGAAUGUAUGCCAGUUAAUCUGCUUUCUUCUCACAAGACACUCUAGAAGAACCAGGUCCAUGUAGUUAGUUAUGUGCCUUCUCUCCUGUCUAGGCAACAAACAUUUGUUCACAAACUCGAAAAUCACCUUAUGCUCAGCCCUCAUCUCAUUUUUCUGAACAAAUCAAGCCUCAGUCACAUCUUCAAGAGUUGCAGAAUCACAAAAGUUUCUGGUGAUUUGGAGUGCAUCAAGAAGAGAUUCCAGGCAUGGCCACCUUUGCCUUGUAUAAUCAUCAUAUCGCACACAGGGAAUGCCUAGAAGUUUCCCCAAUUUAGGAGCAUCAAACUGUACCUUGACCCCUUUCACCAGACUGGUAACAAUCUCAUUCACUACUGUGGCAUUUACCAUAAAUUCGAUAAACUCAUUUCUUGCGAGUUUUCCAUCUAGCUGAAGAACCAUGUUCUUCCAUCCUUGUGCAUUCAGGGCAUCAAUCAAUCCUUUCAUGUCUGGCUCCUCCAGGUCUUUCAGAAUUCUUCCUUUCAAGAUCUUUCUCCUGCCAAAGAGGACAAAUCUAUCAUGUUCCUUUUCAGAUUCCACCUCUUCUUCUUCUCCACUUCAUUCUUCUUCUUCUUCAAUAAUUUUCUUUUGUUUUCUCUUCCCACCAGACCUAGUUCUUUUGGCCAACGAGGACUUAGCAGAUAUGGGAUUUAUUCUCCACUCCAUUCUUCUUCUUCUUCAAUAAUUUUCUUUUUUUUUCUUUACUCGGCAGAUCUAGUUCUUUAAGCCAAUAAGGACUCAACAAAUAUGGGUACAGAGGAAUUCUUUUUAGUUGAAGUCUUGGAACCUCUUCGUUUGGGUGAUGGUACUUUUUCAGUUGUUCCUCUUUCUUGAUGGACCAGGUCCAUCUCCUCUUCUUCUUCCUCUUCUACCUUGAUGUUCUCUAAAACUUUCGCGUUCCUUUUUUCUCUCUUUUUCUUCCUGCUUUUUUUCAGUGCUUUCUGCAGUUGUUCCUCACUUUAUUUAACCUUGCUUCUAGUUGCUCUUGAGGAGACAGUAGACUUAGGGGAUGAUAUUUUGGUUUUCUUAGUUGGCUUGGAAGCAGUUGGAGCUUUUAGGGAAGAAGCCUUGCGCUUUUUUGGAUCAUAACUGGCCCCAAUUUUCUUCAAGAGGUCAGCUAGGGUUUCCUCACCAGAUGAACCACUUUUACCGUGUUGCUUACUUAGGUGAACAAGACCUUCAGCAGCAUCCCCGGAGCUAUUUCCCCCUGACUUGUUGCCACUCUCCUCAACAUUUCCACAAAUCGCAAGAAUUUCAUCUUUCUUUUUCCUUCUUCUUCGAUUAGAUUCAUCUCCCCUCACAUCUUUCAAUGCACCCACUAAAACAAAGAUAUUUUCUUCGUUGUCGACUGCAUCAGAGGAACCAUGGCAUGUAUUCACUUUUCUAGGGUUUUCUUGAUUUUUGUCUAUGUCAGAAGACCCCCGUUCUUCUCCACACUUGUAGAUACAAAGGAUUCAAACUCAGAACUCGAGUCAAAUGAUUCCUUUUUAGAGUGCUCCCUUUUCUAGAUGGAUCUCAAUUUUUCGUUUAGAGCCACUCUUAGAGCGUCAGUGGCUACAGUCUUCCUUGCCAACAUCUUUUGUUGGCGAAAUCUGGGUUUAGGAUUAUUGCUAGGGGUGCAGGCGAGGAUGUAUUGGGAGAUACAAGUGAGAGCGUCCCUAGAUUUGCUUGAGGUUUAGACAUGGUGAAGGAUUUCUGGAAGAUUUUGGGGACUUUUGGUGAUUUUGGGGAAAAGAAUGAUCAGUGGUUUAGCACUUAAUGAUGGUUAUGGACCAAAUUAGGAUUAUGUGGAGUGUAUUUAAAAAUAGAGAAUGAUUAGUGAUGACAACCUUUUGCAGUGGUCAAUCAGGAGUCUAAUCCCAUUAAGACUCCAGUCUUUAAUUAGCACUAGUUUUUAGGAACAAGUCCCAUUUUUCUUUAGAAUUCUAGGAGAAUAAACUGGUCCAUUGCUUAGCAGUUAUAUUUUUGGGAGUUUGGUUAGAAUAGGACUUCUGCUCAUAAUUGGAAUAUUUAAUUUUCAACUUGUGCAAAGUAUAGAAACAUAACUCACCUUUUAUCAUGAGCAUAGACUGAUGAACCAGGUUCUUCUAGUAGAACUUCUCUUGAGAAUGCCUCAUCUAUCAGAAUAGAAAAAAACUUGUAAUAGAUCAAUGAAUUAAAAGAAACAUAUCAUAGGAGUAUACUGAUUAGAGUAUAAGAAUGAGUAAGAAUUAGUCCAGAUAUUCACAUAAAGUCAGAACUUCUAACCAUUUUCUUUCAUUGCAUUUUGAACUAGACCUGAUCUGGUGAUCUUAAUCAUUCCUAAUUCCAACAUGUUCCUUUCAAAGUUUUCUCUACUUAGUGCUUUAGUGAAGAUGUCAGCUAUUUGUUUAUAUCAGUAGCAUAAAAUUCUAUGGAGAUUAAUCCUUUCUCAUAGUUAUCUCUCACAAGUGAUGUCUAACAUCUAUGUACUUG
rnacentral:lncRNA from 1 species